UACGUAGGGUGCAAGCGUUAAUCGGAAUUACUGGGUGUAAAGGGCGUGUAGGCGGAGGCGCAAGUUGGGAGUGAAAUCUAUGGGCUCAACCCAUAAACUGCUCUCAAAACUGUGCCCCUUGAGUAUCGGAGAGGCAAGCGGAAUUCCUAGUGUAGCGGUGAAAUGCGUAGAUAUUAGGAGGAACACCAGUGGCGAAGGCGGCUUGCUGGACAGCAACUGACGGUGAGGCGCGAAAGCGUGGGGAGCAA
rnacentral:rRNA from 1 species